UACGGAGGGUGCGAGCGUUGUCCGGAAUCAUUGGGCGUAAAGGGCGCGUAGGUGGCCCGGUCAGUUCGUGGUGAAGCGCGGGGCUCAACCCUGCGUCGGCCAUGAAUACUGCCGCGGCUGGAGCACUGUAGAGGCAGGCGGAAUUCCGGGUGUAGCGGUGGAAUGCGUAGAGAUCCGGAAGAACACCGGUGGCGAAGGCGGCCGCUGGGCAGUAGCUGGACAACUGAGCGCGACAGCGUGGGGAGCAACAGGAUAGAUACCCGGUAGUCA
rnacentral:rRNA from 1 species